UGUAUACAGCAACAUCAAAUGCUACAGUACUGUUUCUCAAAUACACAAUGGGAAACUGCACAUUUGUCUUAGGGUGAAUAAUCAAAGGGGAUAUAGGUACUGUAUACUUGGUUUCAACUGUGUUGGCUUUUAAUGGAAUUUACAUUAGACAUCAGGCUUAACACAACUGUUUUUCUGCAACCUCGCUACCCUGAUUUCUUAAAUGUUCACAGAAGAGGCUUUGGUAUAAUGGCUUCUCUAAAAGAGCACACUGGAGAUGGGUCCUAAAAGGUCACGGGCACCUCAGGCCAGUACCACCGGAUCAGCAUCGAUUGAAGAGGAGGCGCCUCCCUCACCAACAACACAGGCACCCAGGAAGCCCCAGGGGUCACAGAGAACCGAGAGCCAUCGUUGGCUAGUCCCUCUCUACCCCAGAUAAUGCUCAGUCAAUUGUAUGCCACCACUUAGGGAAUCUCAGCCACAGCAUUUCCUGACCCGAUCCAGGCUUGGAUCUUUACUGGUUGAUCAACUUGCGAGGCUGACUGCCGUGAGUCAGUUCUGGUAAGAUUAAGAUCCAGCACCACAAGGAGCGGGCCCAAGCAAGUCCUCAACAGCUGAGGACUCAGCGACACAUGAAAGGCCACAACAGUGUCUACAAACAGGGAGGCAUCUUGCGCCCUUCACGUACAACCUUACAUAGACACAAGAGUGACGGAAAACAGCCACCAGGGGGAUUUAAAUGAACGUGUCCUGUCGAACAUUAAACCAUUUCACAGCACAACACCAUUUUCAAGUAUCAUGGUCACCAAAGAAAUAGUGGUACAUAGAAGAGAUCAAAGCAAAGGAAAACAUUAUAGCAAAAUGUAAUAGAAGCCUUUAGCUAACCUUGAGAUACUGUAUUUUCCAUUUUUAAAAUAUAUUCACAUGCAUAAGGCUCCCAAAAAAUCCUGUGCACCCGACUUUCUUUUUUUUUAAUUUCCAGUGCCAUGUAUCAGGUAAAUGGUGCCAUACGUGACAAAAAGGACACUAAGUUUGAAGUUUUCAUGCAUUGUAAAAGCAGUGGGACACUUCUUAAAUACAUUUUUUAAAAACUUCUAGAACAUUUUUAAAUCAUAUUGUGUGUUUUUAUCAUUUGGACUGCUGUUAUGUAACUGGAGAUCUGAAAAGAGUGGACAGGUCAUUUUGGUGAACACUGUGAAAUCCUAUGAUGUGUUAAGAUUCGGAACACAAUGUUCCGUUUUAAAACACAUUAAUAAACUUCUAAACAUGACAGAG